rnacentral:lncRNA from 1 species
UGAGGGGUGAUGGAUUUACCCCGUUGCCUGGAGACCGGACGCAAACAGAGACCCAGAGAGAGCACCCAGGCACUGGCUCCAGAGAGGUUAAGAACGAGUCCUGGAGCGGAUAACUCCUGGAGCAGAUAAGGGAGUAAGUAACCCCAGCAAAGUAAAGCCUCAGCUCAAGCUGGAGGGAGACGACAGGAAGAAGAAGUAAAUGUCUGCGAACCCCCUCCCCAGCCUCCUAAAGGAAAAUUGGUUUCAAAUACUCUAUAAUUGGGGAAAAUGAGGAAUUGUUAGCACCAUCUUGUGGGCAACAUGAAGAACUGUCAAUGAGCAACCUCCAUUUCCAAAUAAAGACCUAAUGAGAGAAUCAUGAAUCCAGCUUCCAGCCACAUGGAAAGAAAAGCAUGGCAAGAUCUGUAUGAAUUAAUCCAAAGUGAAGUGAGAACUGGGAGAUCAAUGCACAGGAAAAGCAAUGUUGUAAUGACCAUGACCUAUGAAAGACUUGAUGACUAUAUAAUUGAUACAAUGAUUCAAGACAAUUCUAAAGGACUUGAUUUUAAAAAAAUACACUCCACCUCCAGAGAACUGAUGUGCUCUGAGUACAAACUGAAGUAUAAUUUUCUCGCUUUAUUUUUUAUGCUUGUUUUGCAAUAUAUGUAAUAUGGAUUUUUUUGCAUGAUUUCAUAUGUAUAAUUAAUAUCACAUUGUUUGACUUCUCAGUGGAUGGGGUGACUUAGAAAGGAGAGAGAAAAUCUGGAAUUGAAAAAAUUAAAAAAGAAAAAUGUAUAAAACUAAAUAUUUUUAAAUGUUUUAAAUAAAGAAAUAGGGGCUGUAGUCA